AGCUAGUGUGAUUUUUGCUGGUGUUAACCUUGUUCUGUCAUAUUACCAGAGGUGGUUUCCUAGUUCCUUCCCAUUUCGGUAGGCUCUGUCAGAGGAAAUGUUAGGGCUCAAGGUUGCUGUUCAGUUCCUUUUGUCCCACGGGUUGUUUUUGAUGUAGUACUCUUCCCCAUUUCCUAUGGAUGUGCCUUCCUGGGAGUCGAGUUGUAGUGAUUGUUCUCUCUUCUGGAUCUAUCCACCCAGCAAGUAUACCAGGCUCUGGGCUGGUAUUGGGUGUUGUCUGCCCAGAGUCCUGUGAUGUGAACCAUCUUUGGGUCUUUCAGCCAUGUCAUUUUUUUAACACUUUUGAGAUUAGUUUUCUAUUUAUCUAAAUUUUCAUCACCUAUUUCAUGUGUGGAAACCUGCAAUUAUAUAUGAAUUUCUAUUUGUUUAAACUUGACCACUGCACCAUACCAUUUCCAGAAUUGUUUGGCUUGUUUUCUUUCCUAAAUGAAAUUUUCAUUGGCAUGUGAUUUAAAAGUAGCUUUGCUGCUUAUUUCAUGAUAUGCCUGCUGUGGUGUGAAAGAGUUUGGAUUGUAUUGCAUGCUUUUAGAAUUAUUACCUGAAUAUAUUUUAGGAUUUUCAAAUUUUUAUGGGGCAGCUUUUUUGUAUGCAUUAAUGUUUAAAAAUGUAAAGGUUAAAAUAUCUUUAAAUGAAGAUAUUAAAAAUAUUCUGCAUGUUUGUUGUAUAAGUAGAUUUUGGGGCCCAAUGCCAUAUAGCAUGCUAUUAACAUCACUUCCAAUAAGUAAUACUAGGGGCUGAUUGCUAAAUUUUACCUGAACUGAUAUCAUGUCAGACAUCUUUUAAGAUAUUCUUUUGAGUGAUGACAGUUAUAUGCAAAGGGUAUAUUGAUGUAACUGUUUAAAGACCUUUUGUAAUGUGGUAUACCAAAUUCAGCCAUUCAUUUUUGGUAUUGGAUACAUGGUAGUAUGAAAGAAGGUGUAGGUUAAGAAGUUUGUGUUUAUGUUAAGGGAGUU
rnacentral:lncRNA from 1 species